CUGUUCACUUUAACAGCAAGCUAUCUAAAACUGGGACAAUACAGAGGUGAUUGUCAUGGCCCCUGUGUUAAGAAUGACACACAGAAUAGAAGCAAAUUACCAAGUACUU